CAAGAAUUAGCCUCGAGUGGGUGUGCGCUUCCCUUGCUGCCUUUCUCUUCCUUUGUUCUGCUCUGUUUGUUGUCGCAGUACAAGAAAAGAGUGCAGAUAAAUAGUUUGUGAUCCCAGGAGAACACAAGAAUCCGUGAUAUGAAGAAAAAACUGAGAAAACUAGUUCACAUCUGUUAUACCUGAAGCUGCACUGGAUGGGCACCAGUUGGCUCUCAGGGGAUGUGUUUUACAGAUCACACCCAUUAUCAGAGGGUCCAAGAAAGGCAGUUCUCUCUCUCCACGUUUACUGAUGAGAAGAAAAAAGAAGAGAAGGAGGAGGAAGAGAAGAUGAAUAAAAUGGACUCAAUCAUUACAAAGGGAGAGGGAGCAGAGGAAGAGGCAGCACCACCACCACUACUACUACUACUACUACUACUACUAGUACUACUAUUAACACCACCACUACUACUACUACAAUUUUAAGU